UAUUUCUCAAGUCCAGAAAUUCUGUCUUACUUUCUCUAAACAACUUUGCGUGCACAAUUAACUGCUAGCAUUGUGGCUAAUUGUGACUAAUUGCAAGAUAGGCUAAUUGUGACCCAAAGGAGCCGUUUUCUCCCCUGUAAAGAACAAGCUGCCUACUUCAUAUGCAAAUAGCAGAGGAGAUCCAUAAAUUACUUGUGCUCACACAACUGCACAUAUACAUAGACCAAGGUAAUUUACUCUCCCCAGCUAAAGCAUCUUGAUCAUUCACACUAUGAAGAUGUAAUGAGGAGACAUCACCAAGUACUCAGCGAGAUCUCCCACCCAGGAUUACUCUCAGCAAGAUAUGUAGAAGGCACUGCAUUCAAGGUUCAGAUUGUUGAACCCAGAAUUUAGUCCUGGAGUUCAAGGUUCUGCAACUAAAUCCUCUGAGGACAUCCAAGGAUAACCAGGAAAUCGGAAACUUACGCUGGUAAUAGCCUACUAUUCAACCUCUAAAGAGACAGACUUCCAAGCCAAGGUGCUAAUUUGGUAUCAGACUACAGGCGAUCCAACUGGUCAAGAGCCAGUGCUGGGGUGUGGCCUCCGAGCGCUACAUUAAUACAGAGGAAACCCUUCAACCUGAAUAUUAUUUGGUAAGCAAGUAACAAGAGCACAGGAAGUUAGAAUUUGCUCACAGUAUCGGGACCCAAGAACCUUCUCUUUUCCCUCUGGAGGUUCAAGAUUUGAGUCUGAGAAAUAAAUGGGCAGAAGACACAAGAAGACACACAUGUUUCCUACAUGUGCGGGGGCACUGCAGGAAGCUUCCCUCAGAACAGAUUCAGAACUCGUGCCCACAGAGGUUUGCCCACUUCCUCUCCGUGUGAGAGCCGACGGUGACGCACCCACUUGGCUCCUUGCUCGUGGCCUCUGGGCACAUUUGAACACAGAGAGAUGGUUUAAAAGUCUGGAAGCAAAGGUGCUAUGUCCCACUCCAGCACCCAGCACUGAUCACACCCAGGGAAGAAAACUCAUCGAUCUGUUGCUUCACAGCACUGUUAAACUGCUGGAGAAGUGGAGGGAGCUUUGAGUAUACGACACCAAGCAUUCCCAUUGGCCCAUUUCCAGGCCCUUGCUCUAGCCCCAAUAAAAAGAUUUUUUAAAGAAAAAAAUUAGGAGUAAACCAUGGUCACCCUUUUAGGAUACUGGUUUACCAAGCCUCUCUGAGCUUGGCGGAAUCCUUAUUCAGGUCCAAAUAAUCGUAAGCACACUCACAUGGGGAGGGGAACAACGGAUGGUAGAGAAAAGAAGGAAAAGUGGAAACAAAGCUUUGUAAAUGGGAAAGUGGGGAAGGGCUGAAGGGAGGAAGGGGAAUGAAAACAAAAGAAUCAAGUAAAAUCUGAUUGAAGAAAAAAAGAGAAAUUAGAUGUAAACUGGGAAUGGUGGUGAGUUGUGGCGACCCUCCUGCCUCAGCCUUCUGAGUUCUGGGAUUACAGGUGUGCUCCCGAUCUCAAAAAAAAUUUUUUUAAGAAAAAAAUUAGGAGUAAACCAUGGUGACCCUUUAGGAUAUUGGUGGAAUUACAGUCUGUAUUAUCUGAUGAAUUGAUUUCUUGCCUAUGAAAAAUAACACUUAUAUGUUUCACAUCAAAUGCCCCGAGCUGAUUACAAAAGCUUCAAAGUAAGGCACUUUUCAAAAAGUUACAAUAUUAAAGCUCAAAUGAUUUUGCCUCAAUUCCUUCACCUCAGUAGUGUGUCACUAUUUCUAGCAUUGUCCACCAGGUGGCGUUAAUCCACAAGCAAUUCUGUUGCUAAGGAGGCGUAGGCGGUUUGGAAAUGUUUUGGUACAGGGUUGCAUUAUCAGUCUGCAAAGAAUGGCUCCUUCAUUGCAACUCCAGGAAUCAUCAGAUCAGGCACGGAUCAAUAUUGCUGAGUCAGGGGCUGGGGAUUUAGCUCAGCGGCACAGCGCCUGCCUGGCAAGUACAAGGUCGUGAGUUCGAUUCCCGGUACCGGAGAAAAG
ensembl:lincRNA